UACGGGGGGGGCAAGCGUUGUUCGGAAUUACUGGGCGUAAAGGGCUCGUAGGCGGCCAACUAAGUCGGAUGUGAAAUCCCCAGGCUUAACCUGGGAACUGCAUCCGAUACUGGUUGGCUUGAAUCCGGGAGAGGGAUGCGGAAUUCCAGGUGUAGCGGUGAAAUGCGUAGAUAUCUGGAGGAACCCCGGUGGCGAAGGCGGCAUCCUGGGCCGGCAUUGACGCUGAGUGAGCGAAAGCCAGGGGAGCAAACGGG
rnacentral:rRNA from 1 species